UACGUAGGGUGCAAGCGUUGUCCGGAAUUAUUGGGCGUAAAGAGCUCGUAGGCGGUUUGUCGCGUCUGCUGUGAAAACUCGGGGCUUAACUCCGGGCUUGCAGUGGGUACGGGCAGACUAGAGUGCGGUAGGGGAGACUGGAAUUCCUGGUGUAGCGGUGAAAUGCGCAGAUAUCAGGAGGAACACCGGUGGCGAAGGCGGGUCUCUGGGCCAUUACUGACGCUGAGGAGCGAAAGCGUGGGGAGCGAACAGG
rnacentral:rRNA from 1 species